UGCAGCUACUAUUUUAGUAAAAUAUUUGAUGUGCUAAAACAAUAACGUGGGAGAGAAGUCGUUUCUCCAAUGAAAAAUAAUAGGUUUGUUUAUGGUGGUCAAGCGCAGUUUUUUAAUGGUGAGACCCGUUGGGAACCAAGGCAUUGCAGCAAUGGUGUUGUUGACAGUGUUGGUGAGAAUUGUGAUGCCUCACAGGUCUUUGGGCAAUAAGAUAAAUGAAGCAUAUGCUGAUGAAAAAGGACAUA